rnacentral:rRNA from 1 species
UGCAAGUCGAGCGGUAGAGAGAAGCUUGCUUCUCUUGAGAGCGGCGGACGGGUGAGUAAUGCCUAGGAAUCUGCCUGGUAGUGGGGGAUAACGUUCGGAAACGGACGCUAAUACCGCAUACGUCCUACGGGAGAAAGCAGGGGACCUUCGGGCCUUGCGCUAUCAGAUGAGCCUAGGUCGGAUUAGCUAGUUGGUGAGGUAAUGGCUCACCAAGGCGACGAUCCGUAACUGGUCUGAGAGGAUGAUCAGUCACGCUGGAACUGAGACACGGUCCAGACUCCUACGGGAGGCAGCAGUGGGGAAUAUUGGACAAUGGGCGAAAGCCUGAUCCAGCCAUGCCGCGUGUGUGAAGAAGGUCUUCGGAUUGUAAAGCACUUUAAGUUGGGAGGAAGGGCAGUUGCCUAAUACGUAACUGUUUUGACGUUACCGACAGAAUAAGCACCGGCUAACUCUGUGCCAGCAGCCGCGGUAAUACAGAGGGUGCAAGCGUUAAUCGGAAUUACUGGGCGUAAAGCGCGCGUAGGUGGUUUGUUAAGUUGGAUGUGAAAUCCCCGGGCUCAACCUGGGAACUGCAUUCAAAACUGACUGACUAGAGUAUGGUAGAGGGUGGUGGAAUUUCCUGUGUAGCGGUGAAAUGCGUAGAUAUAGGAAGGAACACCAGUGGCGAAGGCGACCACCUGGACUAAUACUGACACUGA